rnacentral:rRNA from 1 species
GUUAAGUCAGAUGUGAAAUCCCCGGGCUCAACCUGGGAACUGCAUCUGAUACUGGCAAGCUUGAGUCUCGUAGAGGGGGGUAGAAUUCCAGGUGUAGCGGUGAAAUGCGUAGAGAUCUGGAGGAAUACCGGUGGCGAAGGCGGCCCCCUGGACGAAGACUGACGCUCAGGUGCGAAAGCGUGGGGAGCAAACAGGAUUAGAUACC